rnacentral:rRNA from 1 species
UACGGAGGGUGCGAGCGUUGUCCGGAAUCACUGGGCGUAAAGGGCGCGUAGGCGGCAUGCCAAGCGUGUGGUGAAAGCCCGGGGCUCAACCCCGGGUCGGCCGUGCGGACUGGCGUGCUCGAGCACUGUAGGGGCGGGUGGAAUUGCGGGUGUAGCGGUGGAAUGCGUAGAGAUCCGGAAGAACACCGGUGGCGAAGGCGGCCCGCUGGGCAGGAAGGCUCGCAAGAGCCGGCUGACGCUGAGGCGCGACAGCGUGGGGAGCAAACAGG